UGCCUGGGCCAUGCCACCCUGAACGUGCCCCAUCUCCACUGAUCUCGAAGCUAAGCAGAGUUGGCCUGGUUAGUACUUGGAUGGGAUAUUAGAGGUGGCCAUCAGAACUGGAAC
rnacentral:rRNA from 1 species